AACGAACGCUGGCGGCAUGCCUAACACAUGCAAGUCGAACGAGACCUUCGGGUCUAGUGCCGCACUGGUGCGUAACGCGUUGGAACCUGCCUUUAGGUUCGGAAUAACUCCCCGAAAGGGGUGCUAAUACCGGCUAUUGUCCUCCGUCCAUAGUUUUAUCGCCUUUGGAUGGGCCGGCGUUGUCUUAGUUAGUUGUUAGGGUAAAAGCGUACCAAUGCUACGAUACAUAGCUGGUUUGAGAGGAUGAUCAGCCACACUGGUACUGAGACACGGCCCAGACUACUACGGGAGGGAGCAGUGGGGAAUAUUGGAAAAUGGGCGAAAGCCUGAACCAGCAAUGACGCGUGAGUGAUGAAGGCCUUAGGGUUGUAAAGCUAGUUUACCCGGGAUGAUAAUGACAGUACCAGGAGAAUAAGCUCCGGCUAACUCCGUG
rnacentral:rRNA from 1 species